UACAGAGGUCCCAAGCGUUGUUCGGAUUCACUGGGCGUAAAGGGUGCGUAGGUGGUAGGGUAAGUCGGAUGUGAAAUCUCCGAGCUCAACUCGGAAAUGGCAUUGGAAACUACCCUGCUAGAGGGUCGGAGGGGGGACUGGAAUACUUGGUGUAGCAGUGAAAUGCGUAGAUAUCAAGUGGAACACCAGUGGCGAAGGCGAGUCCCUGGACGACUCCUGACACUGAGGCACGAAAGCUAGGGGAGCAAACAGG
rnacentral:rRNA from 1 species